CACUUUUCCGCAACCCCAGGCUUCGGCGCUUAGACUGGAAAGCGCGAGCCCUGAAGCGGUGAAAGGAACGGGUCUCCUAGCAUCUUCCAGAACUUACCACAGAGAAUUCCCAUCUUCAUUCCUUGGGUACCUCUACAAGGAUGGAAUUCGUAUACGAGAUAAGCAGACAUUAAAGGACUCAUCCUUGGAACAGCUGUGUGGCCUUGUUGCUAAGUGACGAUAUUGAAGCGACAUUAUUCCAUGAGAUUUCAGUCUAGUUUCCUGAGGUCGUUUGGACUGAGCUUCAUCUUCUCUCCUCCUUUUUACGGCCCGUUGGGCUGACAGGAUGACGGAGUCCCCCAGGGACCCCUGUUGGAACAUGAGUUACAGUUGCUGAGUGAGUUCCAUCCCUGGGACAGGGCUGCGUGGAACCCUGAGGAGGAGGAAAACAGCAAUGACGGGUACCAGCCGGAGCAACCUCCCUCCCCGACUCGGGCUCUCCUCCUGAGCCAGGCUCACUGCUUCCCGAACUUUCUUCCCUGAGGAUGAGUUCUCUUCCCAGCUGGCCUCAGCUCCUCUGAAGGGAACCUGACCACUGGCGAUGACAGCAGAGCCAGUCCUCACAUAAGCAGUUCUGACCUCUGCCUCAGUUCCUUUAGCUGGCCCGAUGGAAUUAGAUGCUACCUGAUGGGGUGCCCUGUCUCCUGGUCCAGCUCUGCUCCCACGCACAAAAAGCUCAAACUCAAAGUUCAGUGGAUGCUGGUAGACUUUUUAUCUGGAGAUAAAGGAAGGUGCUGAACUGAGGUGAGAAAAUGGACUCUCUCAUCUGAAUUUCUCCUCCAAAAUUGUUACCUGACAACAAGUAUCAGUGACAGUUAACCACAGAGGAUGAAAAGGAUUAUCUGGGGGUGUGCACCCGUAGCAGCUCUGCAGUCCAGCAAUUAAACUUUGCAGUAGUAGCCAGUUCCCCGCCCAGGGAUCAAACCCGUGACCCCUGCAGUGGGAGCACGGAGUCUUAACCACUGGACCGCCGGGGAAGUCCUCAAGUGCAUCUCUUCUCCUCCAUGGUACCACCAUAGCCUCUCCCAGGUGGCCGUCAGCUCUCCUCUGGAUUCUACAAUAUCUUCCAAACUGGCCUCCUUAUACCAGCUCUCAACUCCUGACCCUGACUCGCUCCUACCGACUGCAGAUCCCAGGAGGGAAGGAAACAAAGAAUUUUUGCCUAACAUAAUGCCUGUCAUAUUGUGGGUUUAAAAAUAUAUCUACCAAGGAAAAUGACUGAAUAAUCAGCGUUUAUGUGAUGAAAACAUAACUGGGCCAAGAAAAUGGUACUACAGUCACUGUCACAUGAAUAUCAGUUUGUUAAAUGAAGAGAUCAGUGCGGUGUGCCAUGAACAUAAAAAUAAACAAAAUGGAACAGAAUGAAUGGAUCCCAAAUUUAUUUUUUUUUAUUAUGUAUGACACAG